GACGAACGCUGGCGGCGUGCUUAACACAUGCAAGUCGAACGAAGAGCGAUGGAAGCUUGCUUCUAUCAAUCUUAGUGGCGAACGGGUGAGUAACGCGUAAUCAACCUGCCCUUCAGAGGGGGACAACAGUUGGAAACGACUGCUAAUACCGCAUACGAUCUAAUCUCGGCAUCGAGGAUAGAUGAAAGGUGGCCUCUACAUGUAAGCUAUCACUGAAGGAGGGGAUUGCGUCUGAUUAGCUAGUUGGAGGGGUAACGGCCCACCAAGGCGAUGAUCAGUAGCCGGUCUGAGAGGAUGGACGGCCACAUUGGGACUGGGACACGGCCCAGACUCCUACGGGAGGCAGCAGUGGGGAAUCUUCCGCAAUGGACGAAAGUCUGACGGAGCAACGCCGCGUGAGUGAUGACGGCCUUCGGGUUGUAAAGCUCUGUUAAUCGGGACGAAAGGCCUUCUUGCGAAUAGGGAGAAGGAUUGACGGUACCGGAAUAGAAAGCCACGGCUAACUACGUG
rnacentral:rRNA from 1 species